rnacentral:rRNA from 1 species
GCUGCCGCCAGUCCAUUCAAAUUUCUGCCCUAUCAACUGUCGAUGGAAGGAUAGAGGCCUUCCAUGGUUACAACGGGUACGGAGAAUCAGGGUUCGGUUCCGGAGAUGGCGCCUGAGAAACGGCGGCAACAUCCAAGGAAGGCAGCAGGCGCGUAACUUACCCAAUCCUAACACAGGGAGGUAGUGACAAGAAAUAACAAUACAGGGCUUUUUCAAGUCUUGUAAUUGGAAUGAGAACAAUUUAAAAUCCUUAUCGAGGAUCAACUGGAGGGCAAGUCUGGUGCCAGCAGCCGCGGUAAUUCCAGCUCCAGUAGCGUAUUCUUAAGUUGUUGCUGUUAAAACGCUCCUAGUCGGAUUUGAGAAUGCCAUGGGAGGUCUGCCAAUUUGGUGUGUGCCUUUCGUGGUGUUCUUCUGUCUGAAGAAAAUUUCUGUGCUUAAUUGCAUGGGGAUGGGACUCAGGCCUUUUACUUUGAGAAAAUUAGAGUGUUCCACGCAGGUUUUGCACAUGAAUAGAUUAGCAUUGAAUAAUGAAAUAGGACUUUGGUUCUAUUUUGUUGGUUUCUAGGACCGAAGUAAUGAUUAAUAGGAACAGUCGAGGGCACUAAUAUUGCGAUUUUAGAGGUGAAAUUCUUGGAUCAUCGCAAGAUUAACCGCGGCGAAAGCAUUUGCCAAGGAUGUUUUCAUUGAUCAAGAACGAAAGUUAGGGGAUCGAAGACGAUUAGAUACCGUCGUAGUCCUAACCUUAAACGAUGCCGACUUGGGGUUGGAAGUCGUUCUAUUUGACACUUUCAGCUCCAUACGAGAAAUCAAAGUCUUUGGGCUCAGGGGGGAGUAUGGUCGCAAGGCUGAAACUUAAAGGAAUUGACGGAGGGGCACAACCAGGCGUGGAGCUUGCGGCUUAAUUUGACACAACACGGGGAAACUUUCCGAGACAGGACAUCAGCAUGAUUGACAGAUUAAUAGCUCUUUCUUGAUUUGAUGGUUGGUGGUGCAUGGCCGUUCUUAGAUCGUGAUGCGAAUUGUCUGCUUAACUGCGAUAACGAUCGAGACCUCCGCCUGCUAAAUAGCUACGUGAACUCUUUGGUUCACGGCCAAGCUUCUUAGAGGGACAAUGUGGACAACCACAUGGAAGUUGGAGGCAAUAACAGGUCCGUUAUGCCCUUAGAUGCCUCGGUAUGCACGCGUGCUACAAUGUUAUGUUCAACAAGUCUCCUUCACCGACCGGUGCAGGCAAUCUUUGAAAACAUAACGUGCUUGGGAUAGACCAUUGUAAUUAUUGGUCUUGAACGAGGAAUGCCUAGUAGAUGCGGUUCAUCAGACCGCGUCGAUUACGUCCCUGCCCCUUGUACACACCGCCCGUCGCUCCUACCGAUCGAAAGACCCGGUGAAUUGUGCAGAUCGUGAAGCUUGCUUGGUCAAACAGGCUUGCUUUGUGAGACGCUCUGUGAACCUUGCCUUUUAGAGGAAGGAGAAGUCGUAACAAGGUU